GAUGAACGCUGACAGAAUGCUUAACACAUGCAAGUCGAUGGGGAAGGGGUUCUUGCACCGUGGCAACCAUGGCGGACGGGGGAGUAACACGUAAGGGACUUACCUGCUGGACUGUGGUAACAGUGGGAGACUCCUGACAAGACCGGAUAAUGUCAUGGAGCUGCAUGGCUUUGUGAUGGAAGGAGACGCCUGCGGAGAGCCGUGCGUCCUAUUAGCUAGUUGGUGAGGUAAUGGCUCACCAAGGCGAAGAUAGGUAGCCGGCCUGAGAGGGUGGACGGCCACAAGGGGACUGAGAUACGGCCCUUACUCCUACGGGAGGGAGCAGUGGGGAAUAUUGGACAAUGGGGGCAACUCUGAUCGAGAAAUUCUGUGUGGAAGAAGAAGGUUUUGGGAGUGUAAAGUGCUUUCAGCAGGGAAGAAGUAAGUGACGGUACCUGCAGAAGAAGCGACGGCUAAAUACGUG
rnacentral:rRNA from 1 species